AUGAAGGUCAUCUUGUAUCCAUAGAGACCACGUGCACUUUCCUCAUUUCUAUAUACUGUAAUGGCUUUUCAUUUUUUGGUGAGCUGAGAAAACAAAAUAAACAACAACCACAAAACCAAAAUUGCUUAAGAAACACACAUUAUUCUAACAGCUUGGCCAGUGUCUCUAAACCCUGUCUAUGUCUAAAUCCUGAAUUAGAAUUCACAUUUGAUGCUUCUACCUGUUAUGAGAAGUUCACAAUUAAGUAAAAAUGUGAAAUUAAGACAUGGAGACUUGUUCUUAAAAAGGUGAGUGCUUUGUCUAAUUAUAUUUUAUUUGUUCAGUAACAGUAAUUUUUCAUUAUUUGUUACUGAGAGCUGUUUUAUUAUGUGCUUGGACUCAAAACAUAUUUCAGUGAGUGCUACAUAUCCCUUUGAAACUCAUCAAAUGCUUAAAUUAUUUUAUAAUUUAUAAUACUUCAGGCAGGAAGAACCUCGCAAUGCAUUGUAGAAGCAUUAUCUAAAGGUAGUUUUAGGGCAGCCCGCAUGGCUCAGCAGUUUAGUGCCACCUUUGGCCCAGGAUGUGAUCCUGGGGUCCUGGGAUCGAGUCCCACGUCAGGCUCCCUGCAUGGAGCCUGCUUCUACCUCUGCCUGCCUCUCUGCUUCUCUCUCUCUCUCUCUCUCUCUCUCUCUCUCUCUGUCUCUCAUGAAUAAAUAAAAUCUUUUUAAAAAAGUAAAAUGUGAUUUUGAAAUUAGAUAUAUUUGGGAGUUCCCCAUCACUUCAUCUUUGAACCUCAGUGAAUAAAUUAGUAGAAUUUUUCUUUUAUAGUCUCAGAUAUUAAAAAAAUACUUAGUACAUCCUGUGGAUUAGUCUAUGUUUUUUAUUUAAUUCAUUGGUUUUGUUUUCUUUUGUUUAAUGAUCAUGUGUUUAUAUGUGUAUAUCACGUAUCUUCCUGGUGCUGUAAUAGGGUCUUUGCUCAUAGGGACUGUCAGCUGUGCCCCACUUUGUCACUUAGAAAAAGCUCUAUGUGAAACAUGAGUUACAGCUAAGACUUGAGUAUUUAUCUGGUUUUAAUCAGUACAUUAUAAGUUACACUGAGCUGUCCCCACCCUUGUAGGAAAACACAUGCUUUGAUUUCUUUACAAACUAUGUAUUUAUUGGAAAUGUAAAAUUUCUUUUCUGGUGAAUCCAUGCUUUUAAGUAUUAAAUGUUAGAGAUCUGGGUAAAUGUUUAAAAUUCCUCCCUUACUUACCAGUUGCGAUUUAUUAUUUAAUUGAUUGGUAGAGAAUAUAAGAUAAAGUUCAAUGUCUUUGGUAAAUUUGAAUGGAUAUGAUCUAAAAUUGAACUAUUUUCAGGGCAUCUGGGUAACUCAGUUGAUUAAGCAUCUGAUUCUUGAUUUCUGCUCAGGUCGUGAUCUCAGGGUUGUGAGAUAAAGCCUGUGGUGGACUGGUUGUGGAGCCUGCUUAAGAUUCUCUCUUUUCUUCCCUCUGCCCCUCCUUCCUGCUUGCUUGCUUGAGCGCUGACAUGCACUCUAUAAAUAACACUGACAUGCGCGAAAUAAAUAAAUAAACUAUUUUCUAUCAGGUGUGAAUAUUUGAUACAUCACAUAGUUAUUUGCUAAGCAUUUGGCAUAAAUUAUUUAACUUUUCUUUCAUUAUAUCUUUUCCUAUCUCAUUGAUUCCCAGUAUUAGAAAUGUAGGGUUCCAAGCCAAUAUCUCCUAUCAACUUCAGUAAUCAAAGUCCAUUAAAAUGCAGAAUCUGUGAUAUAUGAGAGCUUUCCUUUUAGUUCUGCUUCAGGUUUUUUUUGAACAGUAAUUCUGCUUUUUGAUAAAGGUCAAAGUGUUAUUCAGUGCAAAAUCUUAUGCAGAAUUAUAAGCAACUAUAUGAUUUCUUUAUUGUUGCAGCAUAUUGAGGUUUUUUUUAAGCUAGAAAUAUGCUAAUAUCAAAUUCUGGAUUAAAAUGAAAUGUAGGGUAUUUUCUUUAAUAACUUCUAAUUCUUCAUAAAACUGCCAGUACAUUAUGAAACCAGAGCAGUUUCACAUUUAGGAUUUUUAUAUGUAUAUAAAUUAGGAUUACUUUUUUAUAUUGGCCUUAACUUCCUUUAAUUUUAUGGAAAAGAACCAGUCCCAAGGGCAUUUUUAUAAUUUAAUACAUGUUAUUCCUAUGAGGCUAAGUAAAAGUGUUCCAUGAAUCAAAAUCUUAGCUGUAGAACCUGUUCAACUACUUAACUGUCUGUCUUGGGACUAACCAGAUGUAAUUAUAACUGGCUUAAAAGUUCUGACCUUUUCCUUGCUUAUUUCAAAGUGAUUCUUUAAAGACUAUUAAGCUAUGUUCAGUAUUUGUCCUACUGUGUAAAAAUAUUUAAAGACAGAGUUUAAGCUGUUGAUUUUGUUUUUUAAAAGUAGUUUGAGAAGGUUCCUUUGCUGCUUGUUCUCCAUGCAAAUUUUUUAGGAGUCCAAAUUCCCUGGGUUGGGGAGGAGGGAGAUGGAGGUGGAGGUGGAGUCUUCGUAAGGUUUCUUUGAAAAAGUAUAAAAGGUCCCUAAAGGUAUACAUUUGCCUUCAUUUUGACCCUCUAAAUCUUCCUUAUUCUAUAGCUUAUCUGUGAAAAUUGUUUUAUGUAUUCAAUUUAUAUGUAACAGUCAUUUGUUUAAAAGUAUCAGUGUUUAGUCAGUAGCACAGAGUCCAUAUUUGCCAAAAUACUACAUUACUUUUAAGUGAAGCUAUCAGUAUGGAUGAGAAAUAGAGUUUGGAGACUGGGUAUUGGCAAUUUUUUUUUCAGAUAACUUUUUGGCCAUUUGUUCUGUAAUAUUUACAGUAAAAUGUGCAGGUACCUCUUUGCUUUCUCCACAUUCACAUGACAUAUCUUUCUCUUGGUUACACUCUAAAAAUUGUGAGCAGUACAACCCUUCCAAAUUAUUUUCGUGUUUUCACAGACCUACACCCUACUGGCAUGGGUGGGAAUUCUGUCAUGCAAUCACACUAUGUAUAGUAUGUACUUAAUGUUUUAAAGAACUUUUCAUAUCUUUGCAUCACUAGUUUUUAGUUUCAUAUACAAAUGUGCCAUACAUGUUUACUUCCCCAUUGGUAGAUCUACCUAUAUGUUGCUCCAAUAUUUCACUAUUGUAAACAGUCCUGCAAAAUUCCAGUAUUUUGAUGCCUAGUGUAACUGUUUCUACAGGACAACUUGUAAAGGUAUAAUUGCUCUGUCAAGGAAGACGUCUUUUUAAAAUGCUUACAGAUCCUGCUAACUUAAUCUCAAAGAGUCUGUGCCAGUUUAUACUUUCAUUAGCAGAAGAGAGUGCCUGAUUUCUCACAUCCUUGCCAGAGCGCCAUCAAUCUUGUUCAGUUUUGCUGAUCAGAGAGUUGCAAAGUAGUACCUCAUAUUUGCAUUCCCAUGUCUAAAGGAGAAGUUAACAUCUUUCCAUAUCUUUAUUGGCUUCUCUCUCUCUUUCUCCAUUCCUCCCUUCCCCUUCCUCCCUUCUUUCUGUCUCUUGGAUCACCUGUUCAUACCCUUUGCCCAUAUUUCUUUUUUUUUGCUAAUUUGUUCUUACUGCUUUGUAGAGACUCUUUGUACUUUGGAUAUUUUUUUCUUUCUAUGUUAUAUGUGUUGCAAAUAUUUCCUCCUUAUCUGUCAUGUUUUUUAACUUAUUUAAAAGUGUUAUGUAAUAUUUUGCGGCUUCUAAGUUUUGUUUUUCUUUAGAAAGGCCUUUUCCACCUUCAGUAUUAAACAUACAUUAUCCUAAAUAUAUUACGUCUUAAUCUUUUAAAAUUAGGUUUCUCAUCAAAGCUAAGAAAUGCCAUUGAUUCUACAACACUGGUAUUUUAUGUGCUGAGGAAGAAGGAAAAAAGACUUUGAGGAACAGAUCACAUACUUACUCAUUUCAAAUUUUAUAAAGAUCUCUUUUAGAUAUUUAUGUAGACAAAUGUUUUAAAUUAUAAAACAUUUAAAAUAAAGUAUCAGUUUUUCAUCUUUGCACCAACAAACUGUAGUCCUUGGGUGUUCUGAAUUUGUCACUGAAUUUAAAUAUGUCUUUCAUUAUUACUCUCUGAGUAUUCAUAAAUACCACAGUGUAUGUGAAACACCUAUUGUGGUACUGAUACUUAUCUAGAUACUUUUAUAUAUGCUCUCAUCUCAGCCUUGUGGCAGCCUUUCAAUGUAACUGUUAUUUAGUGCAUUUUACAGUUGAGAAAACUGGGACUCAGAAAAGUUAAGUUGCUUGUAUCACAGAGCAGUUAAAGUGAUGGACUCUCCUGAGUGCAGAGGUGGUGCAGUGGCUCAGGUUCAGGAUGUGGUUCUGAGUCAUUUAUGGAGGCAAAGACAAUAUAUAUGUGGACCCAGGUCUACCCUCAAAUAUACAGGCAGUCUAGAAUGGAACAUCUGUAAUCGUUUAAAAGUGUGUGAAUGAUGUGUGAUUCUGAUUUUCAUACCUUCUCAGAACCAAUGUAUGCUAUGCUGCCAAAUAAAUGUUCACAUUUGUACUUAUUGAUAAGUUUGCUGAUUUUUUUUUAUUCCUGUCAAUUUUCAUGUUGUUAUGGUUCUGGAAUCAAUAGGAUUUAUAAUGGGGCCUUUACUUUAAGAUGGAAAAUAAAUACUGAUACCAAGAAAAUUGUAUAAGCAUUCUAUUUGUAUGUCAACCCUAAACCAGAACAAGAGAUUAUAGUUGCACACUUAGCCUGAGCAUUGUUACCUACAUUAGAGUCCUAGCCAGUCCUAAUAGUAUAUACCUUGAACCUUUCACAUAAAAUAUGUUUUUAAAACUGCAUGUAUGAUGAGAAUGAUAUGGUUUUUAUUAUGAACCAAAGGAAGUCAUUUAAACUUUAUUUUCACACAGGCAGAUUUUUAGCUUCAAAAAGAACAAACAAGAUAAAUAUUUUGUACUGUUUGGUUAUAUAUAAAAAAUGAUUAGGCAGCUCAAACAAGGGAGGUAGAAGACUCACAAAGGUACCGACAUUAGAAAAAAAACUCAUCAGAGUGCUAGGCAAACUCAGUGUGGCCAUGCCAGACAAGGAUGUAUAACGUCAAGGAUUAGCGAUAGUGCUCUGGGUAGACCAGAUUACAAGCCUUUUCUAAAGUCAUGUUGCAUAUCCUGGGAUUUGAAUCCAUGCCUUAUAUUUAUUUGUAUACAGAAUAGGUUGAAUUUUGUAAGAAGCAGUGUUCAUAAAAGUUGGCAAACCUGUUUUACUUGUCAGUGUUUUCAGAUCAUUGCUUAUAAAACAUUGAUAUUUAUAGUAAAUAUCUUCUUUUAAAUACAGGCUAAACCUAUUAAAUCAUGUGCCCUUGUGCUGUACUCAUUUAAGAACUUGACCCUCUGGCAAGUGAUUGAGACAGCUCUCAGUGCCAUGGAGUGUUUGAAGGAGCUAAAGGGAAGUAGGAAGAGAAGAGAUUUUCAGAAAUAAGUAUUCAUACACCAGUCAGGCUUUUGAGAGAAUGAAGGAUAUAUCUUUACACUGUGUGACCUUUGGCUAAUUCCUGAAGCAUUCUGACUUCAUAUCCUUGUAUAUAAAUGAGAACAUUAUAGUCUUAUAAGUCUCUUUACUAAUGUGACUGCAUCCAGUGGUCUAUUUUACUGUGUGUUUGUGUGUAUCAGUAGAGCACAAUAUGUAGCAGAGUGAUUUCCAGGUUAAACUACCUGGACUCGCUUGUAAACUGGAGUCCCCUAUCUCCUAAAUUGUAAUGAGCAUUUAAUUAGAUAAGCCAGAUAAACCACUUAGCACACUAUCUGCACAUAUUAAACACUCAGGAAAUAUCUCAUUCUUCAAAACUCAAUCCAGGUGUCAAGUCUUAACAGGAUCUAGACCUUGGACCUUUUAGGUAAAAUUGGUCUUGUCAUUGUGCCAUAAAUGUGUCUUGUACUGAAUGCUAAUUUAACCCUGUUAUUAAGUGCUAAAUUUAUCUCUAAUUUAUCUAUAUAUCUUUUCCUCCUAGAUUAUGAGCCCCUUGAGGACAGAAACAGGUUUAUUCAUCUACAUAAGUUUAGUGUCUGACAUCAUACAUUUUGUUGAAAGAAUAAAAUUUUAUUCUUGUUUUUAAAUAGAAUCCCCUCCCCACUUAACGGAUGAUAGUCUGGAGCACAGGUGACGAGUAGAAAUGCUGUCAGAAAUCUGUCAUGGUCUUACCCCCAUCCCUUCUUUUUAACAGCUUUUUUUUUUUUUUUUUAACAACUUUUAAUUGCCGUUGCAUUCUGAAGGAUUUUUUUACUUCUUCACAGUGUUUUCCUUAUAAUAGGGAAAUAAAGAAAGUAACUGCUGGGUGGAGAAGACUGUCCUUUAGAUGAAUUAAAGUACUAUGAUGAGAAAUUGUAUAAUGCAUCAUCAUGGUAGUAGAAAAGAGUAUUGAUCCUGGAAUCAGAGCCUCCAAGUUCAUGUUACAGCACUGUAUUUUUUGUAAUCUGACAGUGAUCACAUUUUCUCUCUAUAAAGUAAGCACAUUUAUUUCAUGUUGCACGUUGUAACAAUAGGAAAAAUAGACUAAGGCAUAAGAAGGGUUGGAGAUUGUGCUUUGGGUAGACUGGAGAACAACCCUUUUCUAAAGUUGUUAGGAUGGUAAACGUGAGAUAAUACAUAGUACUAGCACCUUGCUUGCUUAACGGAAGACACUCAAAUAGUUCCAGAAGUUAGUUUCUUUUUUGGGGGAGGGAAUGGGGACACAGACCUAGUGGGAAGGGGGAGGUUUGGUGGAGAAACUUUUUCUGUAGGAGCAGGGAGAUGAAAGGUGGUGGACCCUGAGCCCAGUCUUCUUGGAAUGGUAUAGCAGAACUAGAGCCAACUAACAAGUUUUCUGUCCUGGAGUUAGUUUCAAUUGAUACUGUACCCUUUAAAUUUGAGAAAAGCCAACCUAUUUUAUUCAAAUUGCUAUUGUUUUCUGUUAGAAAUGUUGUUUAAGUUAGUUGUACUCUUGGUUAGAUUUGAAAAACAGAACUAAAAUGUUAAAUGGUGACAUUUUACUGACAUCAAGCUAAUAUUGUAGAGAGAGCAAACAAAGAUAAAAUGGCAAAGGUAUAGCCAAGAAUUAAGUCCCAUAAUUAAAGGUUAAUAUUUUCUGAAUACAAAAAGGCAGGUCUCUGCUUCAUCAAACUUGACACAGUUAAUCAUUGAUAACUUGAGACACACAUCGAAAACAUUAGAGCCAUAUAGGUCUUUAUUGAUUGUGUUUCCCUUAUAAAAGGUAGAAGUGUAGAGAGAAUUUUUCUCAAUACUACUAAUACAAAUAAAAUUGGUUGAUUAUUAGAUACCUUUCAGUCCAGUGGCUAUGGUAGAUGAACCUUCACUACUUAUGAGAGUUUUGUCCAGAUCGUUUCCCAGUUAGUGUGUUUUGAAGGAACCCCACAAAGUCUCCCACUUGCAAUUUCUUCUCCCCCUGUUCUUACUUUCUACUUUCAUAUCUUUUUACUAAAUAUUUUCUCCCAGUUCUAUUUGUGUCUUCUUCAUUUGAUCUGCUUUUCAGAGAAUCAGUUAAUGAUUUGACUACAGUGUAACAGAAAACUCUAAAACAGUAGCUUUAAACAAGUUGGUGGUUUGUGUUUUUCCCCUCAUGUACUGUAGUUUCCAGGAAUCUUGGUGUCAUGGCAGACUGAACUAAACAUAAGUCUUCCUCCUGCUACCAUUCAAUAGUUCGAAACUCAUAGAGAUGUCAAAUAAAUACACAUGGCUGACUGCAAAAGAAAAAUCUCAGCUGCCAGAAUGAAGAGAAAACAGCCAGAGUAGUAAAGUCAGAAGCUGAAAGCUGCGUGGACCCAGGAGAUUAUCAACUUGGUUAUUAGACUCAGCAGUGGACUGUGGGACUUGAACAGGAAAAGAGAUGUGACCAGAUACAGUUCAGGGAGCUGACACUGAGACCUCUGCACAGUCAAGACCCUGGAAGGUUCUGCAGCCUCAGGAAGGGGGAAGCAGCCCUUCCUGCCAGCUCCGCCUGGCAGCCCAGGGAGCCACAGAGCAGCUUCUGAACCUAAGACUAUGUGAAGGGGGAGGAAGAGUUAAAAUGUCCGUUUCAGUCUUGCCCUCAUAGUAUCCAUGUUUAGUUUAAAAAUUACUGUGAGCAUCUCUUUAAUGUGCCAGCACAAUAAAGUGUUAGUAGCAAAGCA